AGUCGCCAACACACAUCCCUGCGCACACGUUGUCGGGUUUGCUGUCCCCUAUCAGAGACCUGCCGAACUUCUGGGGUUCGGAGGAGCCGGGUGGGAAGGUGGUUUGGGGUGUUAGGAGCGAUUGCUGACAGGGACCACGUUCUCGCAUGCAUGAGCUCUACCCACUUGAUACCUGAAAUCAGGUUCAUCUGUUUCAACUGGUGCUUAUGACCAUCGGAUGGGGGGCGGGGGAGGGUGGGCAGGAGCAAAGCGGAGUGUUUUUCAGUAAUUAGCGAGUGUCAAUAAAGAAUAGGAGCUUGAUUUUGAGAUUAGAAGGUAGGCAAAAGAGAGAAGAGCCCACUGACAAAAGAUACUCAAGGAGGACGGGAAGAUGUAGCUGAGGCUGACAAUGAAUUGUAGGUUUUCCCAGUGUGAUCCCUCCAGAAAGAGAACACCCUCUAUGCGUGUCCUUGUUUCUCUUUUUUGUUUAGGGUCCUUCUCUAGUUAGGCAGCACAACCUCGGACAAAGGCUGAUGUGUGCUUCCAUGCCUUUGACUUUGUCUUAGAGGACUAGUUAAGAAACUCCCAGGAUGCUGAAGGGCACCGAUGCCAAGUUGGCUAGCCGUCCCAGGGAGGAUGAAGUGGGGCUGGUGACAAGUUCACUGGGCUUUGUGAAGUGGAAUAAAGAAAGUGCUGGUCAGUGGAAAGUGCUGGCUCUGCUGCGGAAACAGUGGUUUUUUUCAGCAGCGAUUAGGAGCUGCUGAGGGGACAUUCUGCAGGAAAGAUGGUGGGUGGGGGCGGGGGGACACGGGUAUUUAAAAAUUGUACAGUGUGCACCAUGGAAAGUCCAAGAAGACAGUCCGGAUUUGCACAUAGGAAGUGUGAACUUGUACAGUCCGUCCUGGAGAAACCCGCUUGCCCUUGGGGGGAGGGCUGUGAGAGGCUCGGUGUGUGGCUGCUCGUGUAAUUUCUUCGCUUAGUGACAGCAGCUUGUUAAGGCUAAUGAACGGCUGAAUUUCCUCUGCCGGGAUCCAAAGCAGGAUUUGCCAGCUUGAGGCUGAGAUGUAACAGUCUCUGCUUUAGCAAAAGAGGUUUGGCUUUUGGUAUAAGGAGCCGAGUGGCAAGGCGGAUCCUUUAACUGUACCAUUGUUGCUAGUUCACUUCUGGUCAGAGGCUGUGAGUUUUCCUCCAGGUAUUGGCGUCUGGUGUCUCUGUGUCCACACAUGCAUUCUUGUCCAAGGACGCUAGCAGAUGCUUGACUCUGUCUCUCUGUAAACACAUACACAGUUCACAUAUUUUUAGAAUAAAGUCUUUCUUCAAUGCAUCCUUUUCCUUAUCCUUAACGAGAGUGUGUCUCAUGAAGGGUCUCACUGGAUCUUUUUCUUCCUUUUAUUUCCAAUGCUAAUUAAACCAAAAUCUUCUGAAAUAGCCUUCAUUUCACACUGUCAGCCCACUGGCCUGGGCUGCCAGGUGCUAUAUCAGCCAGGAAAACAAAGCAAACUGUAGGGUCUGUCCAUCCGUAGGUUUGCCUCAGUCCCCAAUUCGCAGAUAGCCUUGUCAUGAAUUAGAAUUUCUUGGCAACAGCACCACCCAGGGAAAUUUGUAGACACAAAGGAGCCUUGCUAGCCACACUGAAAGGAUAAAAUAACUGUUUUUUUUUGGUAUGUGAUUUGUGUGUUCUUCAGUUACUGUAAAUCUGUUUCUUUAUUUGAAACAGCAACUUGGUAGAUGAAAUAAAAAUAUAACUGCCCGUUACCCAGAAUUUAUCUUUAUGAAGAUGCAAUCACUAAAUAGAUGUAACUCUACAAAUGAAAGCACAUGUGACUGCAAUCAAUCACACACUUAGCCUUUAAUAGAUUCAUUUCCAUGUUCCUUUAACAGACACAUCUUUGUGUAGAUUUAGGGGCUUCAAACAUUAUCAUUCAGUCUACCUGUUUGCAGUUUGGUAUUUUAAAGUGGGCAAACAUUAUAAUGCAGUUAUUUUUUACUACAUCUGUCCUUAGUAGGGGGAAAAGGAGGUCACUAUUCUUUGUUCUCCAUGAACUUCCCACCCCCACUCCUUACCCUGAGGAGAAUGGGAUGUUGGGGUCCCAUCCAUUUAAAAGGCAGAGCAGAAGAUGCAAGAUGACAGCCUUGCCCUGAAAUGAUUUAUGUAUGGGUGUGUCAGAGACCUUAAGCAUCCAAAUGUGGGCUGCUUCUUUCUGCCAGCCCAUUCUAAACAUAAAUGCCAGUGGGGGCUAAUUUGCCUCUCUACUUAAAUGGAGAUAGUUCAGAGAGGGUCCUAAUGGGGCCUUUAAUAGCCAUUCUUUUAUGAAUCUUCACAUUGUACUCUCUUCAGAGAAUUCUUGCGUUUUAACUUUUGGAGUACAAGAAGACAUUGCAAUCUUCUUUAAUUGCUCUCUGUGCCUGUUGAGGAAAGAAGAAUACAAUUUCCUCUGGCCAGUCCCAUCUGGCUCAAGUUGAUAGGAUAGCUGGUCUGAUUCCAGACGGGGUCGGUGGAUACCCCUUAUCUUUUCAUUUUAUAGUAUUGUGCAAUGGGCUUUUAAUUAUCUUUGCUGGACCCCACGACUGGCAAAUGCAGAAAAUCGCUCUGUGAUUCCAGUUCACUCGAUAUAUCAGUUAGCCUAUGUGUUAGAACUGCGAUUUGCUGAAAGUUUAGGACAGCUCCCCAACUUAACUUGAAUGGUGCCAGAGGAUAUUUCCCUGGGUUUCAGGCCCUCAUUUUUUUCUAACCAGAAAUAAGCAACAAGCAAGAUGGGCUUUGGGGUUGUUCUACCAUCACUUCAGCUGAAUAUGUCCUAAACCCCUAACUCAUCAACUUCUUCC
rnacentral:lncRNA from 1 species